rnacentral:tRNA from 1 species
AAGGCGGCAUAGCCAAGUGGUAAGGCAGGAGUCUGCAAAAUUCCCACCCCCGGUUCAAAUCCGGUGCCGCCUUA